AUUGAACGCUGGCGGCAGGCCUAACACAUGCAAGUCGAACGAGUGGCGGCCGGGUGAGUUAUGUCUGGGACACUGCCUGAUGGAGGGGGAUAACUACUGGAAACGGUAGCUAAUACCGCAUACCAUCCGCUGUGCCCAGAUUGGAUUAGCUAGCUGGUGGGGUAACGUCUCACCAAGGCGUCGAUCCCUAGCUGGUCUAAGAGGAUGACCAGCAACACGGGGACUGAGACACGGUCAAGAGUCACACGGGAGGCAGCAGUGGCGAAUAUUGCACAAUGGGCGAAAGCCUGAUGAAGCCAUGGCGCGUGGAUGAAGAAGGCCUUCGGGUUGUAAAGUACUUGCAGCAGGGAGGCGUUACCAGCAGAAGAAGCACCGGCUAAAUCCGUGCAAGCCGCCGCGGUAAUUA
rnacentral:rRNA from 1 species